rnacentral:rRNA from 1 species
GAUGAACCCUGGCGGCGUGCCUAAUACAUGCAAGUCGAGCGAACAGAUGAGGAGCUUGCUCCUCUGACGUUAGCGGCGGACGGGUGAGUAACACGUGGAUAACCUACCUAUAAGACUGGGAUAACUUCGGGAAACCGGAGCUAAUACCGGAUAAUAUAUUGAACCGCAUGGUUCAAUAGUGAAAGACGGUUUUGCUGUCGCUUAUAGAUGGAUCCGCGCCGCAUUAGCUAGUUGGUAAGGUAACGGCUUACCAAGGCAACGAUGCGUAGCCGACCUGAGAGGGUGAUCGGCCACACUGGAACUGAGACACGGUCCAGACUCCUACGGGAGGCAGCAGUAGGGAAUCUUCCGCAAUGGGCGAAAGCCUGACGGAGCAACGCCGCGUGAGUGAUGAAGGUCUUCGGAUCGUAAAACUCUGUUAUUAGGGAAGAACAAAUGUGUAAGUAACUAUGCACGUCUUGACGGUACCUAAUCAGAAAGCCACGGCUAACUACGUG